rnacentral:rRNA from 1 species
UACGUAGGGGGCUAGCGUUGUCCGGAAUCAUUGGGCGUAAAGCGCGCGUAGGCGGCCCGGUAAGUCCGCUGUAAAAGUCAAAGGCUCAACCUUUGAAUGUCAGUGGAUACUGCCGGGCUAGAGUCCGGGAGAGGUGAGUGGAACUCCGAGUGUAGAGGUGAAAUUCGUAGAUAUUCGGAAGAACACCAGUGGCGAAGGCGGCUAUCUGGACGGUUUCUGACGCUAAGACGCGAAAGCGUGGGGAGCAAACGGGG